ACGGAAGGCAGCAGUGGGGAAUAUUGCACAAUGGGCGAAAGCCUGAUGCAGCGACGCCGCGUGAAGGAUGAAGUAUUUCGGUAUGUAAACUUCUAUCAGCAGGGAAGAAAAUGACGGUACCUGACUAAGAAGCCCCGGCUAACUACGUGCCAGCAGCCGCGGUAAUACGUAGGGGGCAAGCGUUAUCCGGAUUUACUGGGUGUAAAGGGAGCGUAGACGGUAUGGCAAGUCUGAAGUGAAAGCCCGGGGCUCAACCCCGGGACUGCUUUGGAAACUGUCGAACUAGAGUGUCGGAGAGGCAAGUGGAAUUCCUAGUGUAGCGGUGAAAUGCGUAGAUAUUAGGAGGAACACCAGUGGCGAAGGCGGCUUACUGGACGAUAACUGACGUUGAGGCUCGAAAGCGUGGGGAGCAAACAGGAUUAGAUACCCUGGUA
rnacentral:rRNA from 1 species